UCCAAUUAAAAAGUCGCCACCUAAUGAUUAAGUGCAUUAGGACACUAUGAAAAGUUUGAUUUAGAAAACCAGAAAUUAUCUUGAGGGGAACAUGUUUGGAAUCCCUCAAGAUUCACCAGUGUGGUUCCCGACCAUGCUACAAUUGUGACUUUAAAGUGCAAACAACAAGUGGACAAGUAAGAAUUGAAAAUAUUAUGGGGGUUUUCAAAUAAUGGUUGCAAGCAAUUUGAAGUUAAAAACGUAGUUAAAGAAGCUGAAAUUUGAGAAGAAAGCAAUUUUAAAAUUCAGAAUGAGCGAGUAAAAAAAGGGAAAACUUUAACAUAAUUGCUACAAGUAAUUGGAGUUAAAAGCAAUUAAAGAAGCUAAAAUUUGAGAAAAAGCAGAUUUGAAAUUUUUAAUAAAACAAACAAGUAAAUGGAAGGGGGUCCUAGGUUUAUAAACAAUAUGGAUCACCUACACAACACCCGGUAACCGUUUGUACACAUUGUGUUAUUGCGUGGUCAUCCUAUCCUUAUCUACCUUUUCCCACCCCGUUAAGGUAUAGAACACAAAAUAGUAUCGUUACUUAUUGUACGUCAUUACCCGUCCAAAUCCUAUCACUCCCAAAGACAGUUGGGAUUACUAGUCCUAAAAGGGGACUCCUCAAAAGAAGCAAUAUUCUCUAGCAUGACAUAAGAUACUGAUUUUAGUCUAAAUUAAACUUAGUGUUAGGAUAGGCUGCUUCAUCACAUAUUUCUUAGAUGACAAGUCCAAAUUAGGCCUUAGUCUAGUUGGAGUUUUUUAAGGACUGACACAGUUAAUCCAUUACCAACUGCUUGCCUAGGUGGAAGUAUACUGCUUCUUUUUUAAAGAAGUUUUACUGAUUUUUAAAGAAGGGUUACUGAUUUUAAGACCAACUAAGUUCUGCAGAUAUUAAACAACAUUACUACUGAUUUCAGACUUAUAGAUGAUAUAAACGAAUCAAAUCCAAACGGUUGUUCCUAUACGCAUGAUUUCUAAGCGUUAUUGAUUUUUAUAACGAUUAUUGAGAUGCAGGAAUCCUAUAGGCAUGAUAUCUAGGAUGAAACUUGUUAUUAUUUUAGCCUAGAGACAGUUUGUCGAAUGACAAGUAUAUAUACAUAAGUGUAGAAAACCUAGGAUCAUGAUUUCUAUAUGCAGAAAACCUAUUGGCAUGGUCUCUCUAUAUAUUGAAGGGACUCAAAGUCCCAAGGCAAGGCUCAUAGGAGCGGGGCAGAACUUAAAGUGUAAGAGUAAGUGUAAGUGAAUAGAGGGGAAUCAGGGAAGGCCAUGGACGGGUGGUUGUCGUGCCCAACAAUUAACAGUGUUGGCACACCCUAACCAGCCUGUUUAGCAAAAGUCGGGAGUUAGGAUCCAUUGAGGAUCAAGUUCAGACCUGGGCAGCAAUACGGAAACUGCCGGGCCAUAAGCGUUAACUCAAACACAUAGAAGGAAAUAGGGGUAGUGAUUCACAACAGAAACAAAUGCAAGGAAAGAACAUACAUAAUUAACAUUAAUUACUGAACAUCAACAACAGAGUAAAAAAGAUUGCAGAAAACUGCAAAUAAACACAUAGGGGUGAGGAAGGAAAGUUAAAUUAGAAUAUACUAGGUUUAGAAAAAACAACUGGUAAAAUAGCAGUCCUAAUAACCCAAGUUACAAGCAAACAGUUCUAAAAGAUCUCAGAAAGAACAAAAUGUUGUGAGAGUAUUGAACUCAAAGCAGUAUUGUAAGUGUGUAGUAACUUGAAAGUUUUAAACUAAAGGUUCAAGGUAUUGAACUUCAAGUCCUCUCAAAAGUAAAGAAGGGUAUUCCCUUUUAUAGUACAUAAAACGAGUAUGAAAGUUAAGGGAAUAACGUUGAAAUCCUUUAAUUAAGGGAUUCUAAUUUCCAACGGGUGAAAGAAGUUGACCAAAAAAUAUUUUCCUAGUAGUAAAAGUGAAGGGUAAAUACAUAGGAGUUAUUUAAGGCAAUAUCCAAUGGUACAUGGUUUGUAGAAAAAAAGGAAAGGGAAUCAAUCAAACAACCAGUAAAAAUAAAUAUUACAGCUUAACUCGAAUGGACCAAGUCAUGAAUAGGUAAAGAGGACUCAAUUAGGGAAAAUCAAUAGCAAUCAACCAAACUCCAUUAUAGGAGUUCAGAAUCAGUUAAUUAGUAAGUAAAACCUUUUGAAAGAAGAGUUCUCAUAUAUAAAGCAUACAAAUAUGUGAAUCAAGAAGAGACUGUAGAGUUAUUUAGAAGAGAGUUUAAUCAAAGAGAAGUUCAAAAAUCAUAUGAAAAGAGAUACAGGUUCAAUUUGAAGACUCAUAAUGAGUCAGAGAGUCUAUGGUCCCAAAGUGGAACAUAACUCGAACACAUAAAUCAAAAUUGCCAAAGAAAACCCUAAAUGAUAGGGUUUCAAAUCGAAUCAGACAAUAGAGAUGAGAAUGCAAGACACUUGAUAGAGGCUCAAAAUUCUUUUCCAAAGACUUAUGAGGAACAAACAGACAUGAUAAAAAGAAAGAAAAAAAUCCAAGGUCAUGUCAAUCAUGUUUGAGAAAACUUGAAACUUUACAAGUUGAGAAGAAACAGGUAAUACAAAGUUAAACAAAAAUAGAUGAAACCUAUUUAGCAAGAACUCGAACACGGUCUAGCAAAGAAAGCACAAAACAAAGAACUCAACAGUAAACACAUGUAGUAGAAGAGUAAGGAAAAAAUAACACAGAUUAACAUGUGAGCACAUGUAUAGAAAAAGAAAAGUAGAAGGAAAGUACAUGCGUAAUAAAUAAUCCAUACGAGCAUAACACAAACAAACACACGUAAAGAGAGAAUCAGAUAGAAUAAAAAAGAUCGUUUGAAAACUUUUCCAGAAAGGAUUUUGAAAAGAAAAUUUGGGGAAAACACUUUAGGAGCCCAGUGGAACACGAACAUUCCAUAGAUCUAAGAAAAUAAAGAGAGAAGAACCUCGAAUAGCCUAGGGUUUUAGAGAAACCGUAGAAAUGAGUAGGGCUUGGAAGAAAAAUCGGAUCCUAUGUCGAAAAGGUAAGGAAUCAGGCUCCUAAUGUGAAACAACCCGAUCAGUCGUUUUGAGCUUUUGCACUUUGAUCGCUAGUUCUCAGGCAUGACUUGCCCCGUGUUGGGUAUUAUGAGGAAAUUUAAGAGGAAUAGAGCUUUAUAUUAUACAAAAUAAAACCACUCCAUAAAUUUUGUUCUUAUGCUUAAUUUUCUUGAGAUACUUAACUAUAUGUUUUUCAUUCUAUCUACUGUUUUGUAUCUUCUAGAUCAGUAGUUAUGUUGCUAACAUCCUGUUUAACACACCCCGGACAACACUAUUCGUAUAUUUGGAGGAGAAACUAUGAGGAGAAUUUCUUGAUACAGCACAACAACUUAAGAUAUGAAUACAUUUCCACAUUAAGGUAUGAAUAAAUUCUUUUUUGGAACCAUUACCUCGUGAAAAUUUCACAUUCUUAAAUUCUUUUCGUGCAUCCUUGAUUCAACUUGAAAAGUAACUCUUGAAAUUCCAUCACGCAUUGAUAUGGGCGCAUGAGCGCCCAGUAUAAGAUGUACAUCGAUGGAUUGUGAUUCCAUGAUCGAGGGGCGAGAUAUGGUCUCUGUUAGUUUGAUGUUGGGCCAGUCUAGAGGACUUGAGGCCGGAUCUUUGCCUAUGGCUUGAGCACCGAGGUGUUGAUUGUGUGAGUAAGUGUUUUGAAAAUUAUAUGUUUGGUAUUGUCCCUAUUAGUGGGAGUGACAGUUGGAUAGCUAUGCAACGAGUAUGUUAGUACUGUAAGGUAUAUUCAUAUGAUGUGGAAAAAUGACGACAUGGGUCUGCGGGAGGAUAGAAGAACUAUUAGAUGCUUAAAUUCCAUCAUGAUUCAAGGUAUUACCCCGAGUUAUCGGCAUGUGAAAUGGGGUUCACUUACAACGCAAUUCGGGGUGGCACGUGUUCGAUUGCGGAUGCUUUAGUUGUCCGCCCACUCCACACUCCCACACCAGCCCCCUAAAGACACAUGUGACUCACAAAAAGGCCGUGUACGCUCAAACGUACUCCGAAAGACAUAUAGCAGAAAGAAGACUGAUGGUUAUGCAAAUGAUGACAAUUUUUAAAUCAGUAACACAUAAAGGAAAUAUUGUAAACAAAUAAGCAGCUUGCAAAUAAUAAAACGACAUAAUUAAAAUUAAAAACAAAUAAAGCAAACAAAACACAUAAAAACCUCAACCAAAUAUCCUAAAGAACCAACAAGAUCAAGUACUAACUCGAACCUACAAGUCCUCAGCAGAGUCGCCAGAGCUGUAACACCCCUUUUUACCAACUUUACUUAACCCUCUUACAAAAAUAGAAGGAUUUAGUAAAGCUCAACAGGAUUUUUAAUUAAAAAGUGACAAAAUUAUGUUCAAAAGGAAAUAAAUUAGAGUCGUCGUGUGAUAUUGGUUUUAGUGUGUCAGGUCACCGUUUUAUAAAAAUAAUUUUUCCUUUUUAAACACUUUGGACUCAAAAACUAACUCUGCACCAGAGAUUCUAGUAAGGGGGUUCAUUUGACUUGGGGAAAAAGGUGUUAGGCAUUCCCCGAGUCCCGUGAGGUUCACGGUUGCGCACAUGAUCUUGUUGACUUUUGAAACAUUCAGAUUGAGGAAAAUUCACAGAAAAGAAAAUAAACAAUUAAAAGAGCCUCGGCGUCAUCCCCACCUAAAUGAAAGAAAAAUAAAAGAAGAAAAAUUAAAGUUCUAAAUUAUCCUAUGGUAUUUCUUCUACAAUGUUCACCAAGGCCUCCAAUUACAUUCACAUUGGGGCAUACCUCUGAAGUCAAAUAUAUACAAAUCUCUCGGGGCAUUCCCAGGAUAAAUUUAACUAAGAAAACGACCUCUUACCUCGAAACUAACCAAAUCCUAGGACUUGCCUACCCGAGUGAUCAACCUGAACAUGCUACUAGCGAUUAAGGCAAUUAGUAUGCAAAACUUAAUUUUGUUCUUAAUGUCCAACACCAACAGCUCAAUUCAUUGUAUCCGUUAAUCCACAACAACUAUUAUUUCUUAGCUUAAUCCUUAUUUAAUAUUUAAACCUUACUAAAUUAAAUUAUGCAAUUAAAACUUAAAUCAUCCUCUAGAACAACUAGAUGAUCUAUUCAAGUUCUGAACACCGGCAAACAAACAAUACACCAAACAUGUAAUCACCAAAUUUAGACUAUCUGAAAUCGAGGUAAGAAGAAAUAAGAGAAGCAAGGUAAGAAUUUGACCUCAAAUUGAGCAGUAACAACUUCAAAACUCGAUUAAGUAUGAUAUCCCAAGCCUAAUAAUCUAGAGCAGGAAACCAUGGACAGGGAACUCAGACCACAAAUAGAAGAAGCAACUGAACCCGGACGACAACGUCGAACGAACCUUUUCCCGGAUAGCAAAUGAAACUCGAAUUCCCUUGAGAAAACCUCAACUAAAACCAAGUUAUCAAUGAAGCCCCAGACUGAAUUUGAAAACUUCAACUGAUGUUUAGAGCUUUGGACAUGAACAACGACCCUAAAAUCAAAAUUGGAUUGCGAACGACGAAGCAGAUUUUUUUCAUUUUCGUUAAGUACAACUGACCAAAAAACAAAUAAAAUUUGGAGAGCAGGGUCGUUCGUUGGUUUAUGGGGUGUCUUUCCAAGGAGAGGAAAUGUUUCUUGGUCGUUGGAAGGGCUGAAGUUGCGGUUGAAGAUCUGGUGGAGUUGGUGGUCGAAUGUUGUGUUUAGUCAAGGGGAUUCAAUGAGUUUUUUGUGUUGUUCCUCCAUUAAAGAAGAAGAAGGGAUGGCUGUCUAGCGCUCUAUAGGUUUUUUUGUGGUUGUAUUCUCUAAGGAAGAUGAAGAGUCACUUCUCAAUGUAAAAAUACGGCUAAUUCCUAAA
rnacentral:lncRNA from 1 species